UACGUAGGGAGCAAGCGUUGUCCGGAAUCAUUGGGCGUAAAGCGCGCGUAGGUGGCCCCAUAAGUCCGCUGUGAAAGUCAAAGGCUCAACCUUUGAAAGCCGGUGGAUACUGUGGGACUAGAGUACGGAAGAGGCGAGUGGAAUUCCUGGUGUAGCAGUGAAAUGCGUAGAUAUCAGGAGGAAUACCGAUGGCGAAGGCAGGUCUCUGGGCUGACACUGACGCUCAUGCACGAAAGCGUGGGGAGCAAACAGG
rnacentral:rRNA from 1 species